UACGUAGGGUGCGAGCGUUGUCCGGAAUUAUUGGGCGUAAAGAGCGUGUAGGCGGCCUUACAGGUCAGCUGUGAAAACUCGAGGCUCAACCUCGAGACGUCGGUUGAAACCGUAAGGCUAGAGUCCGGAAGAGGAGAGUGGAAUUCCCGGUGUAGCGGUGAAAUGCGCAGAUAUCGGGAAGAACACCCGUGGCGAAGGCGGCUCUCUGGGACGGUACUGACGCUGAGACGCGAAAGCGUGGGGAGCGAACAGG
rnacentral:rRNA from 1 species